GUUCUGCCCCAGGAAUUCAGAUGGGCUAAAGGCAGAUUGGGAAGGGCUUCCUUUACAUUGAAAGGAAGGAAGGAAAAAGGGAGAAAGGAAGGGAGGGAGGGAGGGAGGGCAGCCCAUGGAUGUGCACUGCCCGCCCUGGUACCAGGUUCCAAAUUAUUCUGAACUAUCCUGUGGACAUCGCUGAGAAUAAACAGAUCACCUGCUUCCAUUUCACAAAGGAGAAAUCUGUGUGUAGAAGAGGUUAAGUUACUUGCCCAAGGUCGCACAGCUGGUAGAGCACGGUCGGGCUUUAAAGACCCAAGUCCAAGGCAAGAAAAACAUUCUCGGAAAGGCACUAGGAGAUUUUUAGACCAAGAUGGCAAGGUUUGGGCAGUUCCCCCUUGAAGUCACUUUGACACCAUCUUUUUUUGUUUGUUUGUUUUGAAGAUUUUAUUUAUUUAUGAGAGACAGACGCAGGCAGAGGGAGAAGCAGGCUCCAUGCAGGGAGCCCGAGGUGGGACUCGAUCCCGGGACUCCAGGGUCAGGCCCUGGGCUGAAGGCGGCGCUACACCACUUAGCCACCCGGGCUGCCCACUUUGACACGCUCUUUACCAGGAGGAUCAGAUUUAGUUGGCUCAGUAUCCCUACUUGAAAAAGUAGCAAGAAAAAUCCACCACGCGCUGGAGAGCCUCACCCCCUCCUUGGCGUUUCUCAAGAGCUCAGGUACCUGUGUGACAUCUGAGGAAAGACUUCUGGUUUCUUCCAUCAAAGUUGCUGCAGAGAUUCUCAAUUUUGAAAUCUUUUAAUUGGAGCGGUUCCAUGCUCUACGCCGAGUGUGGGUACCAAGAUGCUUCACAAGUCUCUUAGGGGUCCAGUCACUCAGCAUUCAAAUGCUACCCCUUCAGAGAGUCUGUCCCUCUCUCACAAACCCUCUCUGCCCUUCCCAUUAAAAAAAAAAAAAUCUUCCUCUUUUUGAAGAAGCCACUUGCCACUCAGGCAACUCCUGCCUUUCUUAAUUCCAAUUAAGUUAAACACGAAAUCUCUUAGCUCCACCCUGGGCUACUCAAGGCCCUACUGAGCCUCUUCAGGGAGAUGAGAGAACAGUGGUCUCAUUCAUUUGGAUUUUUCUGCAAAGCAUUAAGAAUAAAAUAAGUGCACUGCUCA
rnacentral:lncRNA from 12 species